ACAAAUUGACUUUUCGUUUUGUAAUUUUGUUGGUUCAAAUCAAAAUCAAAAACAUUUAUUUAAAAUUAAAAUUAAAUGAUGCGAUGCGUCUCUUUCCUUAAAUAAUUUAUAAAUCGACUUCAAAUUGUAUUUAUUUAUUGUAAUGUUUCAUAUUUUUUCUUUAUUGCUUCUUUUUGUGAGUUGGUGCUCUGCCGAGACCAAUCUUAGUCUUUCUAUCAAAGUCAAUAAUACUGAAAACAUAUUGUGUCGAGAGUGUGGUACUCCGAUACUGACAUCUGAUACAAUAAUCUCAAAGCCUAGUGCCGCGUCACAACAUUCAUUUAACGACACAAUAUUCAGCAAGAAGGAAGUGUUGGUCCAGCUCCUAGUACAGGAUAUAUUUCUGCGAUAUCCCAUUAUAACAUCUAGUGAAGCCACUUGCAUUGGGAAAGGAGAUUUGUAAACUCUCUUCUUACUUUCCCCUCAACUCACUAUGGAGACUAGUCUAUCUGUAGAAGACAAAGAUUUUUUAGCGAAAUGUGAAGAAGAACUCAAGGAUCGUUAUACUGAAAAAGAUGAGGAAUUCAUGAAAGUGUACAACAGACAACCUUCUAUCCCACCCAUAAUGGAAAACUUCAGUCAAUCCCGAAACUAUGGACGUAGGAAUGAUCGACGUUACAAUAGAUACAACCCACACGAUCGACAAGGAUCUAGGAAUUAUGAUAGAAAUCGAGAUAGAGGUCCUAGAGGCUAUAAUGAUUACAAUCGCUCUAGUUAUUAAAACUAUUUUGUCUCGA